GACGAACGCUGGCGGCGUGCUUAACACAUGCAAGUCGAACGGAAAGGCCCUGCUCUUGUGGGGUGCUCGAGUGGCGAACGGGUGAGUAACACGUGAGUAACCUGCCCUUGACUUUGGGAUAACUUCAGGAAACUGGGGCUAAUACCGGAUAGGAGCUCCUGCUGCAUGGUGGGGGUUGGAAAGUUUCGGCGGUUGGGGAUGGACUCGCGGCUUAUCAGCUUGUUGGUGGGGUAGUGGCUUACCAAGGCUUUGACGGGUAGCCGGCCUGAGAGGGUGACCGGCCACAUUGGGACUGAGAUACGGCCCAGACUCCUACGGGAGGCAGCAGUGGGGAAUAUUGCACAAUGGGCGGAAGCCUGAUGCAGCAACGCCGCGUGCGGAAUGACGGCCUUCGGGUUGUAAACCGCUUUCGCCUGUGACGAAGCGUGAGUGACGGUAAUGGGUAAAGAAGCACCGGCUAACUACGUG
rnacentral:rRNA from 1 species